AUUGAACGCUGGCGGCAGGCCUAACACAUGCAAGUCGAGCGGGGUUUUCGGACCUAGCGGCGGACGGGUGAGUAAUGCGUAGGAAGCUGCCCGAUAGAGGGGGAUACCAGUUGGAAACGACUGUUAAUACCGCAUAAUGUCUACGGACCAAAGUGUGGGACCUUCGGGCCACAUGCUAUCGGAUGCGCCUACGUGGGAUCAGCUAGUUGGUGAGGUAAUGGCUCACCAAGGCGACGAUCUCUAGCUGGUUUGAGAGGAUGAUCAGCCACACUGGAACCGAGACACGGCCCAGACUCCUACUGGAGGCAGCAGUGGGGAAUAUUGGACAAUGGGCGCAAGCCUGAUCCAGCCAGGCCGCGUGUGUGAAGAAGGCCUUCGGGUUGUAAAGCACUUUCAGCGAGGAGGAAGGGGUGUGUGUUAAUAGUACACACCUUUGACGUUACUCGCAGAAGAAGCACCGGCUAACUCUGUGCCAGCCGCCGCCGUAAAAC
rnacentral:rRNA from 1 species